rnacentral:tRNA from 1 species
GGGGCUGUAGCUCAGUGGUAGAGCACUUGCCUUGCACAUGUGAGAGGCACUGGGUUCGAUCUUCAGCACCACA